ACUGUGCGGUACUGCUUUUCAGUUCAAUUUGUCGUAGCUGCUACUUGCAUUGACGUUACCCUGAGGAAUAUAAUUCCACAUCCAAGGCUUUUCCCAUUUGAGACUUGGUUAUCACUCUUUGCUGUUAAGCUGUAGAGUCAACACACUUGCUGUCCAUCUCUGUUGGC